rnacentral:tRNA from 1 species
GCUCUGUUCGGCCAGCGGUCAAGGCCACCUCGCUUUCACCGAGGUCCGCAGGGGUUCGAAUCCCCUACAGAGCAC